AGUGAACGCUGGCGGUAGGCCUAACACAUGCAAGUCGAACGGCAGCACAGUAAGAGCUUGCUCUUACGGGUGGCGAGUGGCGGACGGGUGAGGAAUACAUCGGAAUCUACUUUUUCGUGGGGGAUAACGUAGGGAAACUUACGCUAAUACCGCAUACGACCUACGGGUGAAAGCAGGGGAUCUUCGGACCUUGCGCGAUUGAAUGAGCCGAUGUCGGAUUAGCUAGUUGGCGGGGUAAAGGCCCACCAAGGCGACGAUCCGUAGCUGGUCUGAGAGGAUGAUCCGCCACACUGGAACUGAGACACGGUCCAGACUCCUACGGGAGGCAGCAGUGGGGAAUAUUGGACAAUGGGCGCAAGCCUGAUCCAGCCAUACCGCGUGGGUGAAGAAGGCCUUCGGGUUGUAAAGCCCUUUUGUUGGUAAAGAAAAGCAGCAGGUUAAUACCCCGCUGUUCUGACGGUACCCAAAGAAUAAGCACCGGCUAACUUCGUG
rnacentral:rRNA from 1 species